UGGCCGCCGAGCCUCGCGGGGCACUUUCCACAUACUCCCAUCCAAGACUUUCUCCGAGGGCCCUCUUCUGCGUCUCCAGUUUGUGCCGAGGAUCAAAGCAAAACCUGGACCUGAACCAGUUUCCCAAGAUGCUGAAAUGAUGUGUUUGCAGCUGAUGUGGUAUGGCCCUUCCAGCCACUGCUCCGUGUAAAUGUACCUCAUGAAGUUGAUCAGACACAAAACUUCACAGAUGAAAGUCACUCAGUCGUGUCUGACUCUUUGCGACCCCAUGAAC